GUGCAGCGGUAAUUCCAGCUCCAAUAGCGUAUAUUAAAGUUGUUGCAGUUAAAACGCUCGUAGUCGGAUUUCGGGGCGGGCCCGCCGGUCUGCCGAUGGGUACGCACUGGCGGGCGCGCCCUUCCUCCCGGAGACGUCCGCUACUCUUAACUGAGCGGUGGGCGGAGACGGGGUAUUUACUUUUAAAAAAUCAGAGUGUUUCAAGCAGGCAGUCGCUCUUGCAUGGAUUAGCAUGGGAUAAUGAAAUAGGACUCUGGUGCUAUUUUGUUGGUUUCGAGCACCGGAGUAAUGAUUAACAGGGACAGUCAGGGGCACUCGUAUUCCGCCGAGAGAGGUGAAAUUCUCAGACCAGCGGAAGACGAACCACUGCGAAAGCAUUUGCCAGGGAUGUUUUCACUGAUC
rnacentral:rRNA from 1 species